CCCGCAGGCCGUCUUAUCGCUCCUCAUCCCGGUAACUCCGGAAGAGGAGAGGAAAGUCCGGACACCACAGCGCAGCGUAGCGGGUAACACCCGUCAUCCGUUUCGGUUCGCCGUUGCGGAGAGGACCAGUGCAACAGAAAGGAUGUACAGGUAAUGCUGUAGUGAAAUCAGGUAAACUCUACGCGGUGCAACGCCAUGUAAACCGGUAUCUAAGGGUUGCGCGCCCGUUCCGUCCCGAUAUAUUCCGGACGGGUGCCGGAGGGUAGGCGGUUAGAGAUCCCGGGCAACCGGUAUCCCAGAUAAAUGAUAAGACUCGACAGAAUCCGGCUUACAGGCCUGCUUUUUUU
rnacentral:RNase_P_RNA from 1 species